rnacentral:rRNA from 1 species
AGUUGGUAGGGUAAAGGCCUACCAAGGCUACGACGGGUCGCUGGUCUGAGAGGACGACCAGCCACACUGGCACUGAGAUACGGGCCAGACUCCUACGGGAGGCAGCAGUGAGGAAUAUUGCGCAAUGGGGGAAACCCUGACGCAGCAACGCCGCGUGUGGGAAGAAGGCCUUCGGGUCGUAAACCACUUUUGCACGGGACGAAAAAGGGAUAUCGAACAAAUAUCCCCGAUGACGGUACCGUGAGAAUAAGCCACGGCUAACUCUGUGCCAGCAGCCGCGGUAAGACAGAGGUGGCAAGCGUUGUUCGGAAUUACUGGGCGUAAAGAGUCUGUAGGUGGUUUGUCAAGUCUUUGGUGAAAGGCCGUAGCUUAACUAUGGGAAUGCCAAAGAGACUGGCAGGCUGGAGGCUGGGAGAGGGAAGCGGAAUUUCGUGGUGUAGCGGUGAAAUGCGUAGAUAUCAGAAGGAAGGCCGGUGGCGAAGGCGGCUUCCUGGAACAGUCCUGACACUGAGAGACGAAAGCGU